AACGCGAAGAACCUUACCUGGGCUCGAAAUGUAGAGGACGAUAUCAGAGAUGAUAUUUCCCGAAAGGGUCUUUAUAUAGGUGCUGCAUGGCUGUCGUCAGCUCGUGCCGUGAGGUGUUUGGUUAAGUCCAGCAACGAGCGCAACCCUUAUCGUUAGUUGCCAGCGCGUGAAGGCGGGAACUCUAACGAGACUGCCUGGGUUAACCAGGAGGAAGGUGAGGAUGACGUCAAGUCCGCAUGGCCUUUAUGUCCAGGGCUACACACGUGCUACAAUGGUCGGUACAGAAGGCAGCGAAACCGUGAGGUGAAGCAAAUCCCGAAAAGCCGAUCUCAGUUCAGAUUGUAGACUGCAACUCGUCUACAUGAAGUUGGAAUUGCUAGUAAUGGCGUGUCAGCAACAACGCCGUGAAUACGUUCCCGGGCCUUGUACACACCGGCUAC
rnacentral:rRNA from 1 species